CCUACGGGAGGCAGCAGUGGGGAAUCUUGCGCAAUGGGCGAAAGCCUGACGCAGCAACGCCGCGUGCGGGAAGAAGGCCUUCGGGUUGUAAACCGCUUUCAGCAGGAACGAAAAUGACGGUACCUGCAGAAGAAGGUGCGGCCAACUAUGUGCCAGCAGCCGCGGUGAUACAUAGGCACCAAGCGUUGUCCGGAUUUAUUGGGCGUAAAGAGCUCGUAGGCGGUUCAGUCAGUCGGGUGUGAAAACUCUGGGCUUAACCCAGAGCCUGCACCCGAUACUGCUGUGACUAGAGUUCGGUAGGGGAGCGGGGAAUUCCUGGUGUAGCGGUGAAAUGCGCAGAUAUCAGGAGGAACACCGAUGGCGAAGGCACCGCUCUGGGCCGAAACUGACGCUGAGGAGCGAAAGCAUGGGUAGCAAACAGGAUUAGAUACCCUGGUAGUCCAUGCCGUAAACGUUGGGCACUAGGUGUGGGUUCCAAUCAACGGAAUCCGCGCCGUCGCUAACGCAUUAAGUGCCCCGCCUGGGGGAGGUACGGUCGCGAGACGAAACGUAACGUAAAGAAAGUUAGACGGCGUUGAGACGUUGCCGACGGACGACGACGAGGGGAGGAGG
rnacentral:rRNA from 1 species